rnacentral:rRNA from 2 species
UGCAGAAUCCCGUGAACCAUCGAGUCUUUGAACGCAAGUUGCGCCCGAAGCCAUUUGGUUGAGGGCACGUCUGCCUGGGCGUCACAUAUCGUUGCCCGAUGCCUAUUGCACUGUGAUAGGAAAUUCUAGGGCGAAAGAUGGCUUCCCGUGAGCGUUGUUGCCUCGCGGUUGGUUGAAAAUCGAGUCCUUGGUAGGGUGUGCCAUGAUAGAUGGUGGUCGAGUUUGCACGAGACCGAUCAUGUGUGCGCUCCCCAAAAUAUGGACUCUUUGACCCCACACGCGUCUUUUGACGCUCAUGACGAGACCUCAGGUCAGGCGGGGCUACCCGCUGAGUUUAAGCAUAUCAAUAAGCGGAGGAAAAGAAACUAACAAGGAUUCCCUUAGUAACGGCGAGCGAACCGGGAAGAGCCCACCAUGAGAAUCGGCCGCCCUCGGCGUUCGA